rnacentral:rRNA from 1 species
UGGGGGGAUAUUGCGGCAAUGGGCGAAAGCCUGAUGCAGCGACGCCGCGUGAGGGAAGACGGUCUUCGGAUUGUAAACCUCUGUCUUUGGGGAAGAAAAUGACGGUACCCAAAGAGGAAGCUCCGGCUAACUACGUGCCAGCAGCCGCGGUAAUACGUAGGGAGCAAGCGUUGUCCGGAAUUACUGGGUGUAAAGGGAGCGUAGGCGGGAUGGCAAGUAGAAUGUUAAAUCCAUCGGCUCAACCGGUGGCUGCGUUCUAAACUGCCGUUCUUGAGUGAAGUAGAGGCAGGCGGAAUUCCUAGUGUAGCGGUGAAAUGCGUAGAUAUUAGGAGGAGCACCAGUGGCGAAGGCGGCCUGCUGGGCUUUAACUGACGCUGAGGCUCGAAAGCGUGGGGAGCAAACAGGAUUAGAUACCCUGGUAGU